UGCCCAUGUUUGGUAAGCUGUUCUGGCCCCU
rnacentral:piRNA from 1 species